CGAAUUGCAAAACAAAUAUAAUAAAGAUGAAAUAAUUAGAAUGAUUUACUGUUCUGCCUCUUGUGUAUAUAAACCUGCAGAUUAUCGCCCAAGAAUGAGCCAGAUUGUUAAAGUCCUACAAGGGAAUGCACCUGUGGAAAGCAUAUGGUUAAGCGAUGACAGCAGUUUCCUUCACCAUGGAGCACCGUAUGCGCCUAUAUAACACUCUACCCAAGGUCUGCGGAGAUGUCCCGUCUCUCAAAAAUUCAACACUUGUAAUAAUUUUCUUUUGACUCUGGAUUUAUAUAAUAACUUUUCUUAAUUUAUUGCGAUCACAUGUUUCUGGUUUUAUGCAUUUCACAAUGCAAGGUGAUAAAAUUUCCCCAACUUGAUGCGGAAAACCUCCAUAUCCAAAAUCCUUGGUAAAUCGCUAUAUCUAAUGAA
rnacentral:misc_RNA from 1 species